rnacentral:lncRNA from 1 species
GGCCUAGGUGAUCAUGAACUCUAUCGUAUCGUACCGGCGUGGUUAACUGGUCUAAUUAUCUGUACUCAUCCUGUGGGAUUUGGCUUGGAUGGUGCUGGUUAUCUUUGCUUGUGUGCUGUGUUGUUUAUUUUGGUCGCUAGAGUUUUAGCUGAUUGCAUGUCUUGUGUGCUUGAUUUUUGCGAGUUCUUUUUCUUUUUCUGAAUACGCG